rnacentral:rRNA from 1 species
GAGUUUGAUCAUGGCUCAGGAUGAACGCUAGCGGCAGGCUUAAUACAUGCAAGUCGAGGGGCAGCAGCUUUAUARCAAUAUAGAGGCUGGCGACCGGCAAACGGGUGCGGAACACGUACACAACCUUCCUUGAAUAGGGGGAUAGCCCAUAGAAAUGUGGAUUAAUACCCCGUAAUAUAGCGGKGUGGCAUCACACUGUUAUUAUAGUUUYGGCGAUUCGAGAUGGGUGUGCGGCUGAUUAGGUAGUUGGCGGGGUAAAGGCCCACCAAGCCUUCGAUCAGUAGCUGAUGUGAGAGCAUGAUCAGCCACACGGGCACUGAGACACGGGCCCGACUCCUACGGGAGGCAGCAGUAAGGAAUAUUGGUCAAUGGACGCAAGUCUGAACCAGCCAUGCCGCGUGAAGGAUGAAGGUCCUCUGGAUUGUAAACUUCUUUUAUAGGGGGCGAGAAAAGGUCUUUCUAGAUCACUGACAGUACCGU